rnacentral:rRNA from 1 species
AUGAGUCGGGCCCGAGCAUUUCUGUAUCUGGUGGUCGAGAGAUGCAGGCACCCGUUGCAGUCUCUCUACACGGUGCACCGCAUACCGCCGUGGUCCCUCUUCUUCUCCGACAAGGACGGCCGGCGACGAGCGCAGGCGGCCGAGGAGGCCGCGUCGGAGAUCAGGGAGGGCCGCCUGCCUCCCCCGAUCGUGACAUUGUACCCGUCGGCCGGCGACCUUCCCAUGAACUUCGUGCUCUUCGGCCGCGGCAGGGACAAGAUCGCCGCCACGGACCACCUCGGCCGCGCGCUCCUCUACGACGACGCGCUGCGCGCCGUCUCCGCGCUGCCGAGCGCGGAGGGCCCGAAGCACGCCCCCGUGUCGGUCUCCGUCGGUGACGACGCGUUCUUCUUCAGCAGCCCGCCCGACGACGCGCACGAGCGGCCCGUCGUGGAGGCGCUCGCCGACGACACCUACUGGUCGCGCAGGUCGGAGAUGCACUGGCGGUACGUCCCGCCGCCGCCCUACGCGACGCAGCGGCCCGAGGAGGGCCGCGAGGCCGGCGCGUACGACGGCGCCGUCGACGCCUACACGGUGGUCGGCGAGACGCAGCUCUGGGUCUCCGCGAGGGGCCACGGCACCUACUCCCUGAACACCAAGAAGAUCUCCUAUGGCAUCAAGGGCAACGAGGUCCGCCAUGGCGAGUGGAGCAAGGUCGGCGACUGGGCCAUGCCGUUCCACGGGCGCGCCUUCUUCGCCCCGGAGCGCAGGCUCUGGUUCGGCUUCUCGGAGAGGGACCAGAGCGUCCUCUGCGCGGCGGACCUGCGGCAAGCAGGCGCGGCGGCCGGACAACCGCCGGUGGUGAGCCACGAGUGGGAGGGUUUUACCGUGCCCUGCCAGGCGGCGGUACGGUCGUUCCUCCUGCACUUAGGCACCGGCGACGGCCGGUUCUGCGUCGCCAAAUUCUCGCACAACGCGAGUGGUUGCGGUGUGGCCAUGCUCACCGGCGUGGAGGUCGCGCGCUGCGUCGACGGCGUAGCCCUGUGCCUCGUCAAGCAUAAGACGUACAGCUACGGAGGAUUAUUAGGAGAUGAUGACAAACCCGUCUGCCUACUCUAA